rnacentral:rRNA from 1 species
GACGAACGCUGGCGGCGUGCCUAAUACAUGCAAGUCGAGCGAAUUUACGAGAGCUUGCUCUCGUAAAUUAGCGGCGGACGGGUGAGUAACACGUGGGCAACCUGCCUAUAAGACUGGGAUAACUUCGGGAAACCGGAGCUAAUACCGGAUAAUUCACAUCUACUCAUGUAGAUGUGCUGAAAGACGGUUUACGCUGUCACUUAUAGAUGGGCCCGCGGCGCAUUAGCUAGUUGGUGAGGUAACGGCUCACCAAGGCCACGAUGCGUAGCCGACCUGAGAGGGUGAUCGGCCACACUGGGACUGAGACACGGCCCAGACUCCUACGGGAGGCAGCAGUAGGGAAUCUUCCGCAAUGGACGAAAGUCUGACGGAGCAACGCCGCGUGAGUGAUGAAGGUUUUCGGAUCGUAAAACUCUGUUGUUAGGGAAGAACAAGUACCGGAGUAACUGCCGGUACCUUGACGGUACCUAACCAGAAAGCCACGGCUAACUACGUGCCAGCAGCCGCCGUAACAC